AGCGAACGCUGGCGGCAGGCCUAACACAUGCAAGUCGAACGAGGUCUUCGGACCUAGUGGCGGACGGGUGAGUAACACGUGGGAACGUGCCCUUUGGUACGGAAUAACUCAGGGAAACUUGAGCUAAUACCGUAUGUGCCCUUCGGGGGAAAGAUUUAUCGCCAUUGGAGCGGCCCGCGUCUGAUUAGCUAGUUGGUGAGGUAAUGGCUCACCAAGGCGACGAUCAGUAGCUGGUCUGAGAGGAUGACCAGCCACAUUGGGACUGAGACACGGCCCAAACUCCUACGGGAGGCAGCAGUGGGGAAUCUUGCGCAAUGGGCGAAAGCCUGACGCAGCCAUGCCGCGUGGAUGAUGAAGGUCUUAGGAUUGUAAAAUCCUUUCACCGGUGAAGAUAAUGACUGUAGCCGGAGAAGAAGCCCCGGCUAACUUCGUGCCAGCCGCCGCCGUAACAC
rnacentral:rRNA from 1 species